UACGAGGGGGGCGAGCGUUGUUCGGAAUUAUUGGGCGUAAAGGGCGCGUAGGUGGUUAUUUAAGUGAGAUGUGAAAGCCCCGGGCUCAACCUGGGAACUGCAUCUUAUACUGGGUAACUGGAGUACAUGAGAGGGUAGUGGAAUUUCCGGUGUAGCGGUGAAAUGCGUAGAUAUCGGAAGGAACACCAGUGGCGAAGGCGGCUACCUGGCAUGAUACUGACACUGAGGCGCGAGAGCGUGGGGAGCAAACAGG
rnacentral:rRNA from 1 species